rnacentral:rRNA from 1 species
AUUGAACGCUGGCGGAAUGCUUUACACAUGCAAGUCGAACGGCAGCACGGGGGCAACCCUGGUGGCGAGUGGCGAACGGGUGAGUAAUACAUCGGAACGUGCCCGGUCGUGGGGGAUAACGUAGCGAAAGUUACGCUAAUACCGCAUACGAUCUGAGGAUGAAAGCGGGGGACCUUCGGGCCUCGCGCGAUCGGAGCGGCCGAUGUCAGAUUAGGUAGUUGGUGGGGUAAAGGCCUACCAAGCCGACGAUCUGUAGCUGGUCUGAGAGGACGACCAGCCACACUGGGACUGAGACACGGCCCAGACUCCUACGGGAGGCAGCAGUGGGGAAUUUUGGACAAUGGGCGCAAGCCUGAUCCAGCCAUUCCGCGUGCAGGACGAAGGCCUUCGGGUUGUAAACUGCCUUUGUAUGGAACGAAAAGGCUCUGGCUAAUACCUGGGGCUCAUGACGGUACCGUAAGAAUAAGCACCGGCUAACUACGUG